GUCUCUUUUGAGACAUUUGAUAAAAAUGGAAAGAACAGAGAAGAUUAGCAUGAAUCCUUUGCAAAAGUUAUAUGCACGAAUGGAGAGAUGGUCCCUUUUUUU